UGUGUAGGCGGACUGGUGGGUCGAUGGUGAAAGCUUCCGGCUUAACCGGGAAAGUGCUGUCGAAACUACCGGUCUAGAGGGCAGGAGAGGAAACUGGAACUUCCGGUGUAGCGGUAAAAUGCGUAGAUAUCGGAAGGAACGUCAAUAGCGAAGGCAGGUUUCUGGAAUGCCCCUGACGCUGAGACACGAAAGCUAGGGGAGCGAACA
rnacentral:rRNA from 1 species